rnacentral:rRNA from 1 species
CACGUAGGGGCCGAGCGUUGUCCGGAAUUACUGGGCGUAAAGGGCGCGUAGGCGGCUUUGCAAGUUGGGUGUGAAAGCCCUCGGCUCAACCGAGGAAUUGCGCUCAAUACUGCCGAGCUCGAGAGAGACAGAGGUAAGCGGAACUGAUGGUGGAGCGGUGAAAUGCGUUGAUAUCAUCAGGAACACCGGUGGCGAAGGCGGCUUACUGGGUCUUUUCUGACGCUGAGGCACGAAAGCCAGGGGAGCGAACGGG